UUAUUUGGGUUUAUGGGAUGGGGCAUGCGUUCCAUUAGGUAGUUGGUGUUGGUAACGGCACACCAAGCCAUCGAUGGAUAGGGGAACUGAGAGGUUUAUCCCCCACACUGGUACUGAGACACGGACCAGACUCCUACGGGAGGCAGCAGUGAGGAAUAUUGGUCAAUGGACGAGAGUCUGAACCAGCCAAGUCGCGUGAAGGACGACGGUAUUAUGUAUUGUAAACUUCUUUUGUUUGGGAAUAAAGUGCGGGAUGUAUCCUGUUUUGUAUGUACCAAACGAAUAAGCAUCGGCUAACUCCGUGCCAGCAGCCGCGGUAAUACGGAGGAUGCGAGCGUUAUCCGGAUUUAUUGGGUUUAAAGGGUGCGUAGGCGGGCUAAUAAGUCAGCGGUGAAAUCUCGGAGCUUAACUCCGAAACUGCCGUUGAAACUGUUAGUCUUGAGUGUGAACGAGGUAGGCGGAAUUCGUAGUGUAGCGGUGAAAUGCAUAGAUAUUACGAAGAACUCCGAUAGCGCAGGCAGCUUACCAGGCCACAACUGACGCUGAUGCACGAAAGUGUGGGUAUCAAACAGGAUUAGAUACCCUGGUAGUCCACACAGUAAACGAUGAUUACUCGCUGUUUGCGAUAUACAGCAAGUGGCUUAGCGAAAGCAUUAAGUAAUCCACCUGGGGAGUACGCCGGCAACGGUGAAACUCAAAGGAAUUGACGGGGGCCCGCACAAGCGGAGGAACAUGUGGUUUAAUUCGAUGCAACGCG
rnacentral:rRNA from 1 species